UUUUUCUCCACAUAUAUAUUAGUGGGUAAUGGUUCACUAUAUGGACUGAAAAAGAUUAUACACAGUUGUUAGACACAAGCUGUGGAAAAUUAUCAAAUUUUGACCUCAUAUCAAGUAAGAUCACCCGCUGAACUUAAGCAUAUCAAUAAGCGGAGGAAAAGAAACCAACAGGGAUUCCCUUAGUAACGGCGAGUGAACCGGGAAAAGCUCAAAUUUGAAAUCUGCCAACAGGCCGAGUUGUAAUUUGUAGAUGGCUACACUGCAUAAUAGUAGAUGCUCAAGUUCUUUGGAAAAAGACAUCAUGGAGGGUGACAAUCCCGUGAGGCAUGUUACUAGGAGCAUAUAGUGGGCUUUCUAAGAGUCGAGUUGUUUGGGAAUGCAGCUCAAAGUGCGUGGUGAAUACCAUGUAAAGCUAAAUAUGGACGAGAGACCGAUAGCGAACAAGUACUGUGAAGGAAAGAUGAAAAGCACUCCGAAAGGAGAGUGAAAUAGUACGUGAAAUUGUUAAAGUGGAAGGGCUUGAGAUCAGAAUUGGUAGUUUGGGUUCCACGUCCUCUUGGGGGCGUGUACUCCCUUUCCACCGGGCCAGCGGGAGUUUCGUCUCUUGGGUAAAAGCAGUGGAAUGUAGCAGCUUGUCUGUAUUAUAGCCUCUGUUCAUACAAGACGUCGAGACUUGAUUUGUUGGCGUAAUGAUCUCUAGCCACCCGUCUUGAAACACGGACCAAGGAGUCUAUUGCCUAUGCGAGUGUUUGGGUGGAAAACCCUUGCGCGUAAUGAAAGUGAAAAGAUCAGGGCUCUUUUUUGAGUGCACGAUCGACCGAUCUUGACGAUUUUCAGAUGGAUUUGAGUAAGAGCAUAGUUGAUGGGACCCGAAAGAUGGUGAACUAUACUUGGCGAGGGCGAAGCCAGAGGAAACUCUGGUGGAGGUCCGUAGGGGUUCUGACGUGCAAAUCGAUCCUCUCAGCUGAGUAUGGGGGCGAAAGACUAAUC
rnacentral:rRNA from 1 species